GCAAGUCGAGCGAAUGGAUUAAGAGCUUGCUCUUAUGAAGUUAGCGGCGGACGGGUGAGUAACACGUGGGUAACCUGCCCAUAAGACUGGGAUAACUCCGGGAAACCGGGGCUAAUACCGGAUAACAUUUUGAACCGCAUGGUUCGAAAUUGAAAGGCGGCUUCGGCUGUCACUUAUGGAUGGACCCGCGUCGCAUUAGCUAGUUGGUGAGGUAACGGCUCACCAAGGCAACGAUGCGUAGCCGACCUGAGAGGGUGAUCGGCCACACUGGGACUGAGACACGGCCCAGACUCCUACGGGAGGCAGCAGUAGGGAAUCUUCCGCAAUGGACGAAAGUCUGACGGAGCAACGCCGCGUGAGUGAUGAAGGCUUUCGGGUCGUAAAACUCUGUUGUUAGGGAAGAACAAGUGCUAGUUGAAUAAGCUGGCACCUUGACGGUACCUAACCAGAAAGCCACGGCUAACUACGUGCCAGCAGCCGCGGUAAUACGUAGGUGGCAAGCGUUAUCCGGAAUUAUUGGGCGUAAAGCGCGCGCAUGUGGUUUCUUAAGUCUGAUGUGAAAGCCCACGGCUCACCCGUGGAGGGUCAUUGGAAACUGGGAGACUUGAGUGCAGAAGAGGAAAGUGGAAUUCCAUGUGUAGCGGUGAAAUGCGUAGAGAUAUGGAGGAACACCAGUGGCGAAUGCGACUUUCUGGUCUGUAACUGACACUGAGCGCGAAAGCGAUGGGGAG
rnacentral:rRNA from 1 species